rnacentral:tRNA from 1 species
AGGCGCGUAGCUCCAAUUGGCCAGAGCAGCGAUUUCCAAAAUCGCAUGUUGGAGGUUCAAAUCCUCCCGCGCCUG